rnacentral:rRNA from 1 species
AGUUGUACGUUUAACGUAGCGAACGGCUCAGUAACACGUGGCCAAGCUACCCUGUGGACCGCCAUAACCUCGGGAAACUGAGGCUAAUAGCGGAUAUCGCUCCCACGCUGGAAUGCCGGGAGCGUGAAAGGCUCCGGCGCCACAGGAUGCGGCUGCGGCCGAUUAGGUAGACGGUGGGGUAACGGCCCACCGUGCCGAUAAUCGGUACGGGUUGUGAGAGCAAGAGCCCGGAGACGGACUCUGAGACAAGAGUCCGGGCCCUACGGGGCGCAGCAGGCGCGAAACCCUUACCCUGCACGCCAGUGCGAUAGGGGGACACCGAGUGCGAGGGCAUANAGCCCUCGCUUUUGUGUACCGUAAGGUGGUACACGAAUAAGGGCUGGGCAAGACCGGUGCCAGCCGCCGCG